AUAGCCACCGACUGAUCAUCUAUAAUUUGCAUCGCCUUCAUCUCCUCUAACUUUUUCUUUUCAAUAAUCUUUUCCUAUGGGUUUACCAGUAUUCCAAGUUGACUCCUAAAAGACUUGGGCAAAUAUUCAAAGCUAAAAUAUGUUGAUGUUUAAACAAACUAUUUAGAUGGUAGCAUUCCACCAAGUGUAUGUUCGGUUGGGGUGUUACAAAGGUUGAUCUUUUUUUCGUAUAAUAUCACUGGUGGACUAUCUCCAUCACUUUCCAAUUGUUCCUCUCUUGUUUGGCUCCGUAUCGAAGACAAUUUAUUCUCAGGGAAGGACACCUUGAUAAAUCAAGCCUCUGAUGAAGCUAAAAGUUCAGACUCCCUGAAUGAGGACUCCUACAAAGUUGUCGAUGGCACCUUAAUUAUGCUUAUAUUAGAAUUCUAUUCAUCUGCAUUUACACUUCUGCACAUUAUUAUUUUUGGGCCCGUGCUGGCACGGGCUCCUACACUCUAGAAUCAAUAAGAAAAGGAUAAAAGAAAGAAAAUAUUAUAAUAAAUAUGUUUUUAAAUGAAUAUAAAAAUCAUUUACAAAGAAUCAUGCACUAUCAACACUUUACAUAACAUAAUACAAAAUUU